rnacentral:rRNA from 1 species
GACGGAGGAGGCAAGCGUUAUCCGGACUUAUUGGGCGUAAAGCGUCCGCCGGUGGCGAUUCAAGUCUGCUGUCAAAGGUCGGGGCCUAACCCCGGGAAGGCAGUGGAAACUGAAUAGCUAGAGUGCGGUAGGGGCAGAGGGAAUUCCCGGUGUAGCGGUGAAAUGCGUAGAGAUCGGGAAGAACACCAGUGGCGAAAGCGCUCUGCUGGGCCUGCACUGACACUGAGGGACGAAAGCUAGGGGACCGAAAGGG